AGGUUAACCGUAUAGGGGAGCCGUAGGGAAACCGAGUCUUAACCGGGCGUUAAGUUGCAGGGUAUAGACCCGAAACCCGGUGAUCUAGCCAUGGGCAGGUUGAAGGUUGGGUAACACUAACUGGAGGACCGAACCGACUAAUGUUGAAAAAUUAGCGGAUGACCUGUGGCUGGGGGUGAAAGGCCAAUCAAACCGGGAGAUAGCUGGUUCUCCCCGAAAGCUAUUUAGGUAGCGCCUCGUGAAUUCAUCUCCGGGGGUAGAGCACUGUUUCGGCUAGGGGGCCAUCCCGGCUUACCAACCCGAUGCAAACUGCGAAUACCGGAGAAUGUUAUCACGGGAGACACACGGCGGGUGCUAACGUCCGUCGUGAAGAGGGAAACAACCCAGACCGCCAGCUAAGGUCCCAAAGUCAUGGUUAAGUGGGAAACGAUGUGGGAAGGCCCAGACAGCCAGGAUGUUGGCUUAGAAGCAGCCAUCAUUUAAAGAAAGCGUAAUAGCUCACUGGUCGAGUCGGCCUGCGCGGAAGAUGUAACGGGGCUAAACCAUGCACCGAAGCUGCGGCAGCGAACGUAUCACCCAAGACAACUUUACGGAGUUGACGAUUGACGGAGCGAAGCGACGUCAAAGCGUUCAUUAAAGUCGAGUUGGCUUAGGGAUACGUUCGUUGGGUAGGGGAGCGUUCUGUAAGCCUGUGAAGGUGUGUCGUGAGGCAUGCUGGAGGUAUCAGAAGUGCGAAUGCUGACAUAAGUAACGAUAAAGCGGGUGAAAAGCCCGCUCGCCGGAAGACCAAGGGUUCCUGUCCAACGUUAAUCGGGGCAGGGUGAGUCGACCCCUAAGGCGAGGCCGAAAGGCGUAGUCGAUGGGAAACGGGUUAAUAUUCCCGUACUUGGUGUUACUGCGAAGGGGGGACGGAGAAGGCUAUGUUGGCCGGGCGACGGUUGUCCCGGUUUAAGCGUGUAGGUGUGUGUUCCAGGUAAAUCCGGUUCACUUUAACACUGAGGCGUGACGACGAGGCACUACGGUGCUGAAGCAACAAAUGCCCUGCUUCCAGGAAAAGCCUCUAAGCAUCAGGUAACACGAAAUCGUACCCCAAACCGACACAGGUGGUCAGGUAGAGAAUACCAAGGCGCUUGAGAGAACUCGGGUGAAGGAACUAGGCAAAAUGGUGCCGUAACUUCGGGAGAAGGCACGCUGACACGUAGGUGAAGUGAUUUACUCAUGGAGCUGAAGUCAGUCGAAGAUACCAGCUGGCUGCAACUGUUUAUUAAAAACACAGCACUGUGCAAACACGAAAGUGGACGUAUACGGUGUGACGCCUGCCCGGUGCCGGAAGGUUAAUUGAUGGGGUCAGCGCAAGCGAAGCUCCUGAUCGAAGCCCCGGUAAACGGCGGCCGUAACUAUAACGGUCCUAAGGUAGCGAAAUUCCUUGUCGGGUAAGUUCCGACCUGCACGAAUGGCGUAAUGAUGGCCAGGCUGUCUCCACCCGAGACUCAGUGAAAUUGAACUCGCUGUGAAGAUGCAGUGUACCCGCGGCAAGACGGAAAGACCCCGUGAACCUUUACUAUAGCUUGACACUGAACAUUGAGCCUUGAUGUGUAGGAUAGGUGGGAGGCUUUGAAGUGUGGACGCCAGUCUGCAUGGAGCCGACCUUGAAAUACCACCCUUUAAUGUUUGAUGUUCUAACGUGGACCCGUAAUCCGGGUUGCGGACAGUGUCUGGUGGGUAGUUUGACUGGGGCGGUCUCCUCCUAAAGAGUAACGGAGGAGCACGAAGGUUGGCUAAUCCUGGUCGGACAUCAGGAGGUUAGUGCAAUGGCAUAAGCCAGCUUGACUGCGAGCGUGACGGCGCGAGCAGGUGCGAAAGCAGGUCAUAGUGAUCCGGUGGUUCUGAAUGGAAGGGCCAUCGCUCAACGGAUAAAAGGUACUCCGGGGAUAACAGGCUGAUACCGCCCAAGAGUUCAUAUCGACGGCGGUGUUUGGCACCUCGAUGUCGGCUCAUCACAUCCUGGGGCUGAAGUAGGUCCCAAGGGUAUGGCUGUUCGCCAUUUAAAGUGGUACGCGAGCUGGGUUUAGAACGUCGUGAGACAGUUCGGUCCCUAUCUGCCGUGGGCGCUGGAGAACUGAGGGGGGCUGCUCCUAGUACGAGAGGACCGGAGUGGACGCAUCACUGGUGUUCGGGUUGUCAUGCCAAUGGCACUGCCCGGUAGCUAAAUGCGGAAGAGAUAAGUGCUGAAAGCAUCUAAGCACGAAACUUGCCCCGAGAUGAGUUCUCCCUGAGACUUAGAGUCUCCUGAAGGAACGUUGAAGACGACGACGUUGAUAGGCCGGGUGUGUAAGCGCAGCGAUGCGUUGAGCUAACCGGUACUAAUGAACCGUGAGGCUUAACCUUACA
rnacentral:rRNA from 1 species